UACAGAGGUCCCAAGCGUUGUUCGGAUUCACUGGGCGUAAAGAGCGUGUAGGCGGCCAGGUAGGUGGGUUGUGAAAACUGGAGGCUCAACCUUCAGACGUCGACCCAAACCCCUGGCUAGAGUCCGGAAGAGGAGAGUGGAAUUCCUGGUGUAGCGGUGAAAUGCGCAGAUAUCAGGAAGAACACCCGUGGCGAAGGCAGCUCUCUGGGACGGUACUGACGCUGAGACGCGAAAGCGUGGGGAGCGAACAGG
rnacentral:rRNA from 1 species